GUUCGGGACAUCACUAGAGGGGACUGCUAGUGCUGUGUAACUUGAUUGAUGGCUAAAGGUUUCCAGCACUCGACUUACAUAUAACGAGGUCUGACAAAUAGGAAAAGGUUUUAAGUUAAAAAUAUUACCACUGCGGAGCAAGAUUUAAAUGUGGUUAGUCCAGACUGUGACGUUAUGUUAGGGUUGGGCUGUAAAAAAACAGAUAACGCAGUACUCAUUGCAGAUAAGCAGAAACAACCAGCUUUCUUGGCUUGAGUGUGGCUUAAUGUAACAUUCUAAAUAUCAAUACAAGUUUGUUCUAAUUAUUACUAUUAUUAUUGAAUAAUGUAAUAAAUCUAGAGUGAUUUGCUAUCUUCAGCAUAUUAUAUUGUGAUUUGUUCAUUUAAAUUUGGACCAUUAAUUAUAUCUUACUUAUGUAAAACAUAUGGAUUUUUUUUUAAUAACAUCCCAUUUCAGCCCUGGAAGCUAAUUAGCAUUCUGAGAUUGCGCUCAUAGGAGCUAAUUAACCUUAUGGUAUUAAAUUAG